rnacentral:misc_RNA from 1 species
GUAUUGAUUGCGUGUGACCGCAAAAAUAACAUUCUACACUGUAUCAAGUUUUGUGUGAAAACGUGGGCCCUCCUGCAAAGGGAACCCACGCGGUGAUGCACAAAGGGGUGAGAUGGAUAUUUGUAUGUGAGAGCACUCGGGCGUGCACGACAAAAAGUCAGCGACAACCCGGGUACCCCCAUUGUACGAUAAUGAUCCUUCCGCAGGUUCACCUACGGAAA